rnacentral:tRNA from 1 species
CGGGCUGUAGUGUAACGGCUAGCACGAGUCCUUUGGGAGGAUUUAGUCCGGGUUCGAAUCCCGGCAGCCCGA